GAUGAACGCUGGCGGCGUGCCUAAUACAUGCAAGUCGAGCGAACAGACGAGGAGCUUGCUCCUCUGACGUUAGCGGCGGACGGGUGAGUAACACGUGGAUAACCUACCUAUAAGACUGGGAUAACUUCGGGAAACCGGAGCUAAUACCGGAUAAUAUAUUGAACCGCAUGGUUCAAUAGUGAAAGACGGUUUUGCUGUCACUUAUAGAUGUAUCCGCGCCGCAUUAGCUAGUUGGUAAGGUAACGGCUUACCAAGGCAACGAUGCGUAGCCGACCUGAGAGGGUGAUCGGCCACACUGGAACUGAGACACGGUCCAGACUCCUACGGGAGGCAGCAGUAGGGAAUCUUCCGCAAUGGGCGAAAGCCUGACGGAGCAACGCCGCGUGAGUGAUGAAGGUCUUCGGAUCGUAAAACUCUGUUAUUAGGGAAGAACAAAUGUGUAAGUAACUGUGCACAUCUUGACGGUACCUAAUCAGAAAGCCACGGCUAACUACGUG
rnacentral:rRNA from 1 species